rnacentral:rRNA from 1 species
AGUGAACGCUGGCGGUAGGCCUAACACGUGCCAGUCGAACGGCAGCACAGUAAGAGCUUGCUCUUACGGGUGGCGAGUGGCGGACGGGUGAGGAAUACAUCGGAAUCUACUUUUUCGUGGGGGAUAACGUAGGGAAACUUACGCUAAUACCGCAUACGACCUACGGGUGAAAGCAGGGGAUCUUCGGACCUUGCGCGAUUGAAUGAGCCGAUGUCGGAUUAGCUAGUUGGCGGGGCAAAGGCCCACCAAGGCGACGAUCCGUAGCUGGUCUGAGAGGAUGAUCAGCCACACUGGAACUGAGACACGGUCCAGACUCCUACGGGAGGCAGCAGUGGGGAAUAUUGGACAAUGGGCGCAAGCCUGAUCCAGCCAUACCGUGUGGGUGAAGAAGGCCUUCGGGUUGUAAAGCCCUUUUGUUGGGAAAGAAAAGCAGCAGGUUAAUACCCCGCUGUUCUGACGGUACCCAAAGAAUAAGCACCGGCUAACUUCGUG